AACUCUUCGCAUGAGGUGGCCAAAGUACUGGAGUUUCAGCUUUAGCAUCAUUCCUUCCAAAGAAAUCCCAGGGCCGAUCUCCUUCCCGCCCCAACCCUGAGAGAAGCCUCACGAUCCUUCAGGCAACAUCGAUGGUUGAAGAGAGAAGCUGACAUAGUACAUCUCAGGAGUAAUUUUUAACUUACUAGGGCUCUGCUUUGUUAAUUUCCCAGACAAACUGGCUUCUGUCUGUUUCGGUUGCAAAUGACAGAAACCCCAACUGGGUUAAGCACUAAAAAUAAUUUGUCUCAUCUCUCUGCAACUGCUGACUUUGAGCAUAAUUGGAAAUAGGGGUCUAAACUAUAUAAGUAGGAUGCUCUUUUUUCCCCCUCUCUUUUUCUUCCUAAUUCUUGGCCCCAUCUUUUCCUUAUUGAGUCCAUCCUUGAGCUUUUCCUGGUGCCCCUGGCACUUUCACCCCUGGCGGUCACAAGAUGGCAGCACCAGAUCUAGUGCUUCAGAAAAACAAAACAAAACAAAAAAACAGAGGAAGUUCCUUGGUCCCAGCAUGCCCAUCCACAUCCCAGUGGCUUCUCAUUGGCUCCUAUUCAGUCACAUGACCACCCCCUGAACCAAUCACUGUGGCCUUGGGUCCCUGGAUCCCUGCAGGAAACCCCAUCUGUAUCCUUUAUUAUUGGAGUUAGUCAGGGACUGACACCAUAGAAGGAAAUUAAGAGCCUUUCCAAAAGAAAAUGCAUGAAAGUUGGGCAGCAAAAGCAUCAGCUCUCUGCUUGAUCAAAUCCUAUUAUGAUAAAAUAAGGAUAUUUAAAGGCUCUCAAAUUUGCCUAAACCAGGGGGUAGCCCAGGCCUUUGUUCACUGAUCUACCUGCAUGAGCGAUGACCUUGAUUUCCUAGGUCCAUAACAUUGACCCCAGGUCUCCAUGUUCUUUGAAAUUUAUAAAACCUUUUCACAUCCAGGGUGGGGCCUGAGGGCAAAAAAUAAAAUUGCUUGUUUAAUUAAAUCAAUUACUUAAUAUUCUAAAGCUUUAUGAUGAUGUAAAGCACAAGUUUUAUAUACAGGGCACAAGAGGUUUUAAUAGACUUGACUUGUGUUCCAAAUUAAAACAAUGUUAAAUUCUUGAGUAACCCUAGCAGGGAGAAAGAAAGAAAAAAAAAGAAAGAAAGAAAGAAAAGAAAAACCCUCUUAUUUCCAAAUCACUACCAGUGGAAUUUUAAAAAUUAUUUACACACUUAGCCAUGAGUCCCUUUAUACAUGAUGGGUUUGGCAGGAAGGUCUGAAGCAAUAAUUUAAAACAGAGGUUGGGAAUGUAUAUAAGGAACUCCCCCUCUUUUCAAAAAUAAAUGUACCGUUAGAUCCACAAAGAGGUGACUUUUCCUAAGAAAAGACCAUAACUCAGAGCCGGGGGCCUGUGGGUGCUGUCUGAGUUAAGCUGACAACACAAUGUGCUUACUUUCUGUGGAUUCUAGAAUGAAGGGAACGAUGAUUCCUUAGGUGCAGUGGAAAGAAAAACCGAUCCCUUGUCACAGAUUAUUUCGUUUGAUUUUAGUCCGGACUUACAUGCUUUGAUGGAAUUCUGAAUACAUGGCGGUGUUUUGUGGUUUGUUUGCUUAACUGACCACUCAUUAUCUUUUGAACUUUUUGAGAAAAUGGCUUAAGGUAUGUGGAAGCUUUUUUUUUUAAUAUUUAUUUUAUUAUUUAUUUGGCUGCGUCAAGCCUUUGGCAAGUGGCAUCUUCAUUGCAAAGAGUCAGGCACGACUUAGAGACUGAACAACAACGUCUCUUUGUUGCAGUGCAGGCUCUGUGUUGCGGUGUACAGAUUCUCUAUCUGUGGCACUUGGGCUCUAGAGUGCACGGACUCAGUAGCUGCAGACCAUGGGCUUAGUUGCCCUGAGGUAUAUGGGAUCUUAGUUCCCCGACCAGGGAUCAAACCUGAGUCCCCUGCUUUGGAAGGUGGAUUCGUAACCACUGGACCACCAGGAAAGUUCCUCUACUGAACUUUAUAUUGAGUUUUGUUCUAAAAUAACAAGAAGACUCCAUCCUCUGCCCAAGGAUGUAGACAUCCCAAAGACAAACGACUGUGUCACGGAUGAAGGGGCUAGGUCACCAGGUCCUUUCCAGUAAGGGAAGGGGUCAGUGUUGAAUGGCUAUUUGGUAAUACAGAAAUGGAUUGGAAAGACUGCCAGCAGGGAAGGAAGAGAUAGAUAGUCUCAAAGCCCCUAAACUGUUCUUGUUGCCUCUCAGAGUGAGCGUCUGGAGGGGAUGCUGCCCAGGGCCCCAUCUAUGUCUCUCAGUUGGCCAUUGACUCGCUCACCUUCUAGCUGCCACUGCCUGAAACCUCUUCUCCGAAACCUGUGGAAAUUUGCCAAAGAAGAUGACCUGUUUGACUGUAAGAAUAGCAACAACUUGUACUCAGAGGACACCUGGAAUGUACCAUGGCUCUAAGUGUGCCCAUGAAUGAAACUGUCACGCCCUGAGGCAGAAGUUCCAUCUCCAGUUUCCAGAUGGAGACACUGAGCUUUUCAGCCCCUCCCUGGGGUCACAGCUAGGAGUGAUGGUUUAGGAUUCAAACCCAGACUGCUUAGCUUCAAGUUCUGGGCCCUUCACCCUGUGCAAUUUUUCCCCGACAUCUUUUUAAAAAAUUAAUCAAUUAAUUCAUUUGUUAUUAUCAUGUUUUGGUUGUGCUAGAUCUUCAUUGUGGUGGCUUUUCUGGUUGCAGAUCACAGGCGCUGUAACUCAGGCUUCAGUGGUUGUGGCACACGGGCUUAGUUGCUCCACGGCAUGUGGACUCUUCCCAGACCAGGGAUUGAACCCUUGUCCCCUGCAUUGGUGGGUGGAUUCCUAUCCAGUGUACACCAGGGAAGUCUCCCACUGUGUCUUGAAUGUCACCCAGAGGUCAUUUUGUUUCAUUUCUCAAGUGCAUGGCACUUGUGGAUGGAACUGGAGGACCAGUCUGCCUGGUGUUAGCGAGGGUGCUCCCCUCUACAGGUGAGCUGGGCUACAGAAGGCGUGGCUGGUGAGCCCAGGCCUGUCCGCUGUCUCAAGGUGCCCUCUACCCUUUCCUCCUGGGUCUCUGCUCUGGGCCCCUGGAGGUCUCUGGGCAGGAGCAGCCUUGCCUGUGCCAAGCUCCAGGUUCCAGGGAGUGGAAGUGAUGUGUUUCCUGCAUCAAGGAGGAAAACCAGAGGUGGAAGGAAUGAGAGGAACUGUGUCCCACCUAGCCUUUCAUGCUCCGAGCCUUGAACAAGCGGGGACCAGAUAAAGGCAGACUUCAUCAGGAUGCUCUCACACUGGGCCACCCAACCCCAGGGCUCCCAAGGAUGCAACCCAGAUGACAUGCAUGUUAUGGGUACCUCAUGCUUCCUGGCUGGCUCAGUGGUAAAGAACCCAUCUGCCAAUGCAGGAGACGAGGAUUCGAUCCCUGGGUGGGGAAGAUCCCCUGGAGGAGGAAAUGGCAACCCACUCCAGUAUUCUUGCCUGGAAAAUCCCAUGGACAGAGGAGCCUGGCAGGCUACAGUCCAUGGGGUAGCAAAGAGUUGAGCACAGCUAAGUGACGGAGCGCGCGUGCACGCACGCACGCGCGCGCGCACACACACACACACACACACACACAUGCCGCUUUAGCCACUGGCUUCAUUACCACCCCCUGUUAUCCAGGCCUCUGGGAUAUUUCUCUUCACUCCAAGAAAGCUCCUUUUGUGCUGCUGUGAAUUCCCAACCACAAGGGCCAGUGUACAGAACAAACAAAUCAGCCUGAGGCAGACAGAACUUUCCAGAAUUCCUGGCCUGGCCAGACCAGCUCCUUCCUGAGCAGUGCAGUGCAUGCCACAUUUCACAGUUUACAAAAUGACUUUUUUUUUUUUUUUGGGUUUUCACAAGGAAAUUUUUCCAAGAAAGUUUUGAAAAAGAUAAAUGAUGCUCCCACAGGAUUUCAUGGAAAAUGUUCACCCGACUUUCUGAAUUGCCUCUGGGAGUCCAAUUGGGGCUGGCAUGUCCCUGUGGGCUGAAGGACAAUUGUCCAGCCUCCAGGGGAAAGUUUCCGGCUGCCUGACAAGGACUGAAAUGCUGUCCAGAAGGACAGAGAAAAUAUUUAUUUUCAGCCUCGGGCGAAAAUCUUAAAUUCAUAAAUGUGUGAAUUCCAGAGUCACAGAAGCAAAGUGUAAAUUGUUCAGGAUUGUCUGUAUUCUGCAGAUAGAUUGUGCAAUGAGAGUGUUGAAACCAGAAUGAUAGGAAUGAGAGAGAUGCAGUUUAUCUUAUAAGAGUCAUGCUUAAAUAAAUACUGGGGAACAUUCAGGGCUAUUUAAAAUAAGACGUGGAGUUCUACCAUGCGGCCACCUGACGCUGACUUCCCACUGCUGUUUCUACUUCCACUCUUGCCGUGUUUUGGCUCUGCUUCCAUCUCUGGUAUUUUCUUUCAGUUCAUUUACUGUUCAAACAGCCCUUGAUUUUCAGGUCACUUUCCGUAUUUAACCUUAACCCUUUCUUCCCCCAUCUGUUAAUCCAGAAAGCGCUUCACUAUUGCUCUUUUUUCCUACUUACACUGAGCUGAAUUUUUUUUUAAAUCUUAAAAGAUGUCUUUAACCAUUCAGAAAUGUACAAAAAUGACAAAGAAUUAAGAGGAAAACAAACCCACAGGAAUGGUUCAGGUCUCAUAUAAUUCCUGCUCACAUUAAAAAAGUCCUAAAUUUUAUAAACACUUGAAAGCGCAAACAGUACAAAGAAGUGCAACGUGGAAGAUGAACAUCUCCCCUCUUUCGUGCAGACCCUCCUUUCUUGGGCUGCUUGAUUUAGCAAAAUAAGGCACAGGAUAUCCAGUUCAAUGUGAAUUGCAGAUAAACAGUAUUUUUUUUUAAAUUUAUUUAUUUGAUAGUUGUGUCACGUGAACUCUGAGUCAUGGCCUGUGGGAUCUAGUUCAUGAUCAGGGACAGAACCCGUGCCCCCGUGCAUUGGGAGCACAAAAUCUUAGCCACAGGACCACCAGGGAAGUCCAUAAACAACAUUUUUUUUUUUUUUAGUAUAAGUAUAUCCUGCAUAUUGCCUGGGACACACUUAUGCUAAAAAUUCUUUUGUUGGGGCGCGCGGCGGGACGGCGGCGGGACGGCGGGGACGGGUGCUGGCCUACAGACCCAGCAUGAGCGAAGUUCCCUGCAGAAAACGUGAUGACUAUCUUGAAUGGCCUGAGUAUUUCAUGGCGGUGGCCUUCUUAUCAGCACAGAGGAGCAAAGAUCCAAAUUCCCAGGUCGGUGCCUGCAUGGUGAAUGCAGAAAACAAAAUCGUGGGCAUCGGAUACAACGGGAUGCCAAAUGGGUGCAGUGAUGACCUCUUGCCUUGGAGGAGGACAGCAGAGAACAUCCUGGAUACCAAGUACCCUUACGGCAU